CCUUUGGAUCACUAAGGCUCUGAUGUCUUGAUGACAGAAUAAUGGCAUGUCCACAUCUGUCUUCCCUUUCAUCCUCAUCAGUCAGCAUCUUAUGUAAAACACUUAUCUUCCCAAGGAUGGCUUGGAUGCUGGUGAACGCUAGUGGUCCUGGACAAUGGCAUACUUUUUCAGGAGUCUGUCAUAAUUCUUAGCAUGCUGUCUCUCAUGGAUGCCAGGAGCUGCUUUUGUGGAUUAGAGGCUACCAUCUGAGACAGACUCAGAGAAGCUCUGAUACCAACCCAAUUCUGAGGGACAGCUUAAGAGAAGUCUGUUCUUGGCAGCAGUGUCUAUGACAACAACCUCAGUUCAUUUCUAACAUUUAUGCACUGACAGACAAUAUUCAAGAACACUGGAUAUCAUUCUUCUAUAUGUAAAUAAGCCACUGAAGAUUGCCUCCCACUCCUGAAAUGGUUUGAACUCAUAAAUUAUCCCUGGACUGAAGGCCAGCAGUAGAGAGGCAAAGGAAACAGAAAGGAGAGGAUACUUCCACAAGACACUCUAAGUUCCUGCAUGACUUGCAAGAGGGGAGUGCUAACUACAUUGGCUUUGGGCAGUGUCAAUAAAGCAUCCCUCUCUUGAUAUGUAUGACCAUCUUUCUAGAGCAAUGAACAAUCAUGGUCUGAUUGAACCCUGCAAACACAAGGACUAACUGCCACGGUGCCACUCUGAGAGGAUGCUGCCAUUCCGAGAGGGUGCUCAGCAGCAGCCGCAUGAACUGCUUUCCCUCUGCAGAGCACCGCAGAAUGACAAAAGACAUCCCUUCCUCUAGCCACAUAAUGGAGAUGGAUUGCAGCUACUUGUGACAUCGCUGCAAAAGUUACCUCUUAACUUCUAUUAGGACCCAUUAAGAAAUGCCUUUUCCCUGCCUUGCCUCCCAGCCUUCUUGACAGCUUUAGCUGAGUAAGAUCUCCAGCCAUCUCCAGCAACCUCCGUGCUCCAUCAGGGACUUCCCAAGAGGCUUAACGGAGAAGAAGAGUUCCAACCUGCAUGUGAUUGGUACCACUCCUUGGGAUGUGGGUCCAAACCGAAUAAAAGAUGUCAGGAAGACGAAAGCCUAAGCUAUCCCCUAAGUACCUCUACUUUCUGGUUUAUCUAGAGUGAAUGACUGAGUAGGAAAUAUCAUAGCAACCACCAGACCUAGCCAAUCACAAAUCCCAAACACCAUUCUACAACAGGAGAGAGCAGCAUUGACGUUAUGGAAGUUCUUCUGCCCCAGGAAUUUCCAGGACAUCUGCUAAGUCAACCACAUUCUCACAAACAUUAUGGCCUUGAAUGUGAGUUUUUGCAACAACGUAUUUGUUCUCAAAAUGUUCCAGCUGAGAAGGCUACACCAAAUAUCCCCUCCAUUCUGCAGAUGGCUAAUUGGAAAGGCAAUAUUUUUUGUGGAGACCAGUUUCUUCCAACAUUAGACAUUUUGACAGCAUGAACAAAUAAGGAUUGGGUUUUGUGUUACAUUU